GUGGAUUAGAUACCCUGGUAGUCCACGCCCUAAACGAUGUCUACUAGUUGUCGGGUUUUAAUUAACUUGGUAACGCAGCUAACGCGUGAAGUAGACCGCCUGGGGAGUACGGUCGCAAGAUUAAAACUCAAAGGAAUUGACGGGGACCCGCACAAGCGGUGGAUGAUGUGGAUUAAUUCGAUGCAACGCGAAAAACCUUACCUACCCUUGACAUGGAAGGAAUCCUGGAGAGAUCUGGGAGUGCCCGAAAGGGAACCUUCACACAGGUGCUGCAUGGUCGUCGUCAGCU
rnacentral:rRNA from 1 species